rnacentral:rRNA from 1 species
UUAGCCUUAAACUUAGAUAGUUAAUUCAAACAAAACUAUCCGCCAGAGAACUACUAGCAACAGCUUAAAACUCAAAGGACUUGGCGGUGCUUUACAUCCCU